AUCUGGUUGAUCCUGCCAGAGGCGACCGCUUUUGGAGUUCGAUUAAGCCAUGCGAGUCGAGAGCCUUAGGGGCUCGGCAUACUGCUCAGUAACACGUGGAUAACCUGCCCUAUUGUCUGGAAUAACCUCGGGAAACUGAGAACAAGGCCGGAUAACCCACAAUGCCUGGAACGGUUUGUGGGUGAAGAUAGGAUGGGUCUGCGGCGUAUCAGGUCGUAGGGGGUGUAAUGGACCUCCUAGCCAUUGACGCGUACGGGUGUUGGGAGACAUAGCCCGGAGAUGGAUUCUGAGACACGAAUCCAGACCCCACGGGGUGCAGCAGGCGCGAAAACUUCACACUGCAGGAAACUGUGAUGAGGGAACUCCAAGUGCAUCCACUAUGUGGAUGCUUUUUUUGACUAUUAAUCGGUCAACGAAUAAGGGCUGGGAAAGACCGGUGCCAGCCGCCGCGGUAAUACCGGCAGCUCAAGUGGUCGUCGCUUUUAUUGGGCCUAAAACGUCCGUAGCCUGUUUGGUAAAUCUGUGGGU
rnacentral:rRNA from 1 species